rnacentral:rRNA from 1 species
AGAGUUUGAUCAUGGCUCAGGAUGAACGCUAGCGGCAGGCCUAAUACAUGCAAGUCGAACGAGAUUAAGAGGCUUGCUUCUUAUGAAAGUGGCGCACGGGUGCGUAACGCGUAUGCAACCUACCUUAAUCAGGGGGAUAGCCCGAAGAAAUUCGGAUUAAGACCGCAUAAAAACACAGGAUAGCAUUAUCCAAUGUUCAAAUAUUUAUAGGAUUAAGAUGGGCAUGCGUGUCAUUAGCUAGUUGGCGGGGUAACGGCCCACCAAGGCGACGAUGACUAGGGGAUCUGAGAGGAUGACCCCCCACACUGGUACUGAGACACGGACCAGACUCCUACGGGAGGCAGCAGUAAGGAAUAUUGGUCAAUGGAGGGAACUCUGAACCAGCCAUGCCGCGUGCAGGAAGACAGCCCUCUGGGUCGUAAACUGCUUUUAUUCGGGAAUAAACCUUUCUACGUGUAGGAAGCUGAAUGUACCGAAGGAAUAAGGAUCGGCUAACUCCGUGCCAGCAGCCGCGGUAAUACGGAGGAUCCAAGCGUUAUCCGGAUUUAUUGGGUUUAAAGGGUGCGUAGGCGGCUUAUUAAGUCAGGGGUGAAAGACGGUGGCUCAACCAUCGCAGUGCCCUUGAUACUGAUGAGCUUGAAUACACUAGAGGUAGGCGGAAUGUGACAAGUAGCGGUGAAUGCAUAGAUAUGUCACAGAACACCGAUUGCGAAGGCAGCUUACUAUGGUGUUAUUGACGCUGAGGCACGAAAGCGUGGGGAUCAAACAGGAUUAGAUACCCUGGUAGUCCACGCCCUAAACGAUGAAUACUCGCUGUUAGCGAUAUACAGUUAGCGGCUAAGCGAAAGCGUUAAGUAUUCCACCUGGGGAGUACGCCCGCAAGGGUGAAACUCAAAGGAAUUGACGGGGGCCCGCACAAGCGGAGGAGCAUGUGGUUUAAUUCGAUGAUACGCGAGGAACCUUACCCGGGCUUGAAAGUUAGUGAAUGAUCUAGAGAUAGAUCAGUGAGCAAUCACACGAAACUAGGUGCUGCAUGGCUGUCGUCAGCUCGUGCCGUGAGGUGUUGGGUUAAGUCCCGCAACGAGCGCAACCCCUAUGUUUAGUUGCCAGCACGUUAAGGUGGGGACUCUAAACAGACUGCCUGUGCAAACAGAGAGGAAGGAGGGGACGACGUCAAGUCAUCAUGGCCCUUACGUCCGGGGCUACACACGUGCUACAAUGGAUGGUACAGAGGGCAGCAAGCUGGCAACAGCAAGCGAAUCUCAAAAAGCUAUUCACAGUUCGGAUAGAGGUCUGCAACUCGACCUCUUGAAGUUGGAUUCGCUAGUAAUCGCGUAUCAGCAAUGACGCGGUGAAUACGUUCCCGGGCCUUGUACACACCGCCCGUCAAGCCAUGGAAGUUGGGGGUACCUAAAGUAUGUAACCGUAAGGAGCGUCCUAGGGUAAAACCGAUA